UACGGGGGGGGCAAGCGUUGUUCGGAAUUACUGGGCGUAAAGGGCUCGUAGGUGGCCAACUCAGUCGGACGUGAAAUCCCUCGGCUUAACCGGGGAACUGCGUCCGAUACUGGAUGGCUUGAGAUCGGGAGAGGGAUGCGGAAUUCCAGGUGUAGCGGUGAAAUGCGUAGAUAUCUGGAGGAACACCGGUGGCGAAGGCGGCUUCCUGGACCGAUACUGACGCUGAGGCGCGAAAGCUAGGGGAGCAAACGGG
rnacentral:rRNA from 1 species